GUCUCAACUCCAGAGAACCAUGUCUCGAAGCGGAGGAGGAAGAGGAAAACAGUGGCUGCCAUCAGAACUGCAAGGCCUACCAGUUAUGGCCAAGGCUUCCUGCAGCGACUUGAUUUGAAGGUACAUUUUAAGUGGUUCCUGAUAUACGGGUGGAGGAAGGUGAAGGAGGCAACUUUGGCUUGUCCUUGUGACCUUCUCGACCAGGGCUUCAUCCUCACGUGUUCUCAACUUUGUGGCUACCUGAGGGACUUCUCUCAUGGGAACGUCUCAGACCACCUGUGUGCUUACUCUUGUGCAUCAGCCUGUCCUUCAUUCACUCUCUUUCAGGUAGCAGACUGUCUCCCUCAGCUCUCUCUUUCUCUGAACUCCUAGUUCAAAGAUAUCUUCCUCGUUUCUCUCCAGGACGACAGACACAAAGCAACGCUUUGUUUAGGGCUUGAAAACUCAGUGUCUCUUUUCACCUAAUUGGAAGGAAGUAUUUUUCCAUUUGCUUCAUUGUCUUACUGGAAAUUUUGCUAACUAGAGCCGAGGAGCUUAGUUCGCACACAAAGUUGUUCAUUAAUGAACAGCCUCCAGGACAGGUUGUUCUUAUCAGGACUUAAUAUCUAACUCAGCACUGGCUAAACCAGAAAGAGUGCUGGAAAUUUCUGGUAGCUACUGCUAUGCUGGGAAUGGACCUCAGAGGUGGUAACAACUCUUUUUCUGGGCUGGAAGCUAUUCAGAAGACUAAGACCCUUCAAGUACUGUAACCUAAAAUCCUUGACAGAGAGCUCUUUGCCAGUUUCUUGUAAGGAUGAAAUAAGACAAAUAUUCAAGGAGUUCCUGUUGUGGCUCAGUGAUAAUGAACCCAACUGGUAUCCAUGAGGAUUUGAUUUCGAUCCCUGGCCUUGCUGUGAGUUGUGGUGUAGGUUGCAGACACAGCUCAGAUCCCACAUUGCUGUGGCUGUGGUGUAGGCUGGCAGCUGAAGCUCUGAUAUGAUCCCUAGCCUGGGAAUUUCCAUAUGCCAAAAAUAUAGCCCUAAAAAAAAAUCAAGAUUCUAAAAGACCUGAAAUAGUCAAAAGAGGUUUUCAAAAUUUAUUUUUGCUGGAUGUGUCCUUUUUAUUUUUUACUUGAGAAAGCACUUGGUAAUUACUGUCUAUUACCUCCCUGGUUUCUCCAUCCUCUGCCCUCUGGUUUUGAUAGGCAGAAUUUUGGCCCCAAGACUUUUGAUCCCUGACACUACUGCUGUGGUUAUGCUAUACUAAUUGAUGAAAGAGACUUUUCAGAUGUAAUUAAGGUUACUAAUCCAUCAACACUAAAGUAGGGAUAUGAUCUGAGUGGGUGUGAUGUACUAAUGCGAGCCCUUAAAAGCUGAAGGCAGAGGGGCAAUGC
ensembl:lncRNA